AUUGAACGCUGGCGGAAUGCUUUACACAUGCAAGUCGAACGGCAGCACGGACUUCGGUCUGGUGGCGAGUGGCGAACGGGUGAGUAAUGUAUCGGAACGUGCCCAGUCGUGGGGGAUAACGUAGUGAAAAUUACGCUAAUACCGCAUACGAUCUAUGGAUGAAAGCGGGGGAUCGCAAGACCUCGCGCGAUUGGAGCGGCCGAUAUCAGAUUAGGUAGUUGGUGGGGUAAAGGCCCACCAAGCCAACGAUCUGUAGCUGGUCUGAGAGGACGACCAGCCACACUGGAACUGAGACACGGUCCAGACUCCUACGGGAGGCAGCAGUGGGGAAUUUUGGACAAUGGGCGCAAGCCUGAUCCAGCCAUUCCGCGUGCAGGAUGAAGGCCCUCGGGUUGUAAACUGCUUUUGUACAGAACGAAAAGGUUUCUACUAAUACUAGGAGCUCAUGACGGUACUGUAAGAAUAAGCACCGGCUAACUACGUGCCAGCCGCCGCCGUAA
rnacentral:rRNA from 1 species